UACGUAGGGACCGAGCGUUGUCCGGAAUCAUUGGGCGUAAAGAGCGUGUAGGCGGCUUUACAGGUCCGUUGUGAAAACUCGAGGCUCAACCUCGAGACGCCGGUGGAAACCGUAAGGCUAGAGUCCGGAAGAGGAGAGUGGAAUUUCUGGUGUAGCGGUGAAAUGCGCAGAUAUCAGGAAGAACACCCGUGGCGAAGGCGGCUCUCUGGGACGGUACUGACGCUGAGGAGCGAAAGCGUGGGGAGCGAACAGG
rnacentral:rRNA from 1 species